rnacentral:rRNA from 1 species
GCAGGCUUAACACAUGCAAGYCCGAGCGGGCAUAGCAAUAUGUCAGCGGCAGACGGGUGAGUAACGCGUGGGAACAUACCUUUUGGUUCGGAACAACACAGGGAAACUUGUGCUAAUACCGUAUAAGCCCUUACGGGGAAAGAUUUAUCGCCGAAAGAUUGGCCCGCGUCUGAUUAGCUAGUUGGUGAGGUAACGGCUCACCAAGGCGACGAUCAGUAGCUGGUCUGAGAGGAUGAUCAGCCACAUUGGGACUGAGACACGGCCCAAACUCCUACGGGAGGCAGCAGUGGGGAAUAUUGGACAAUGGGCGCAAGCCUGAUCCAGCCAUGCCGCGUGAGUGAUGAAGGCCCUAGGGUUGUAAAGCCCUUUUGUGCGGGAAGAUAAUGACGGUACCGCAAGAAUAAGCCCCGGCUAACUUCGUGCCAGCAGCCGCGGUAAUACGAAGGGGGCUAGCGUUGCUCGGAAUCACUGGGCGUAAAGGGUGCGUAGGCGGGUCUUUAAGUCAGGGGUGAAAUCCUGGAGCUCAACUCCAGAACUGCCUUUGAUACUGAGGAUCUUGAGUUCGGGAGAGGUGAGUGGAACUGCGAGUGUAGAGGUGAAAUUCGUAGAUAUUCGCAAGAACACCAGUGGCGAAGGCGGCUCACUGGCCCGAUACUGACGCUGAGGCACGAAAGCGUGGGGAGCAAACAGGGAUUAGAUACCCUGGUAGUCCACGCCGUAAACGAUGAAUGCCAGCCGUUAGUGGGUUUACUCACUARUGGCGCAGCUAACGCUUUAAGCAUUCCGCCUGGGGAGUACGGUCGCCAGAUUA